UCUUUUGCUGGAAGGCAGGACUUUCUUUUCUCUAUCAGAAAGGUGAUUGGGUCUUUUACUGUAAUGUGGAAAUUUAUUUUCUGUCAGGAAGCUGAUCAGCUCUUUUACUACAGUAUAAGGUGGGACUUCCAGUUCUCUAUUAAAAAAUACUUUUUUACUGUAAGGCAGGACUUUCUUCCAUCAGAAAAUUGAUUGUCUUUUUACUGUAAGACUAAAUUGAAAUAGAUUUUUUAUCUGUAAAGUGUGACUACAGGGUUACAGCUACGAGUGGGCGUCUCCUUUCAUUAUAGCAUCUCUGUUAUAUUCAGCAUAUUAUAGUUUACAGGGCGUUGCCGGCCAGCUGUUGUUUAACAGGAGUGCACAUUGUGUUCUUUAAAAACAGUUAGAAGCAGUUCACUGACUCUAGAUCCACUUUAUGUUGAUGGAUGGAUCCCUGGAUCAAUUCUGAUGUGCUCUGAAACCUAAGCACAAGAUCAUCGCUCGUGUGACGUACCAUUUCAAGCUCUCGCCGGCGAGGAGGCGGAUCUCUGACACGAGUGAUGGACGGUCACAGCGAGGAAGGGUGGACGCGUCCAGCGGGUGUUAUAUCCCGUUUCCAGAUAUAACUCUCCCUCAUUAAGCUCUCCUAUCAUGUUCACUGGAGCGCUGCUGUCACUGGCACAGAGCCAAAAUGGCGGCUUCCACAAAUCCCAACAUUUCAGCACUCGCUCAGCUCACCGGAUAAAUGAUGAAGUCGCACUACGGCACAUUUCAUUUGCAGUCUAGCAGUGUCCAUAAACACCCUACGGGAGAUGAACUUUAUAAGCUAGAGCUGUCAGAAGACACAAAUGCAAGCAUGUUUUGAGAGCAGCACUGGUCUAAUUUGGGCUCUUCUUUAUUUGAGCACAAACGAUGUGAAGGGGUUGAAUGCGAGCGGAUGGCCGGACCACACACUUUCCCCUUUGAUCCAGCAUGGGAAGAACUCACAUCACAUUACCAGAGAGAAGAGCCUAAAAACUCCACAGCAGCUCAUCAGAUCCUGUAGGUCACUUCCUACCAGCAGUUAUACAUCAGUCGGUGAUAAAAGAGGCCUGAUGUUAGCCUUAGCAUCGUAUCUCCACUGCUGCUAACAAAUACACAAAAUCAAUGCGAUCCAAAAUAGAAUUCGCUGCUGUCUGCAAUAUCCUGAUAAGAGAUUUGAUAGCAUAAAUAUUUAUAAAGAGCCAAAGGAAAUGAAAUUGAAUUUGCAUUCUGCUUUGUUAUCGUAUGAUGUGCUAUUCUAAAACUGCAUCGUAUGAAUUCAUUUCAUUCCCUGCACUAGAGAAACUGACAUUUUUAAUAACUGGAUGGUUAACAUGAAAUAUGAAAAAAUAAAAGUUAGUAAAAAGUCAUGCUCUUUGAUGUGAUGUGCUACACUCUAUCUGAAUUUUCUCCUCUGUACAGUAUAUUGAAUAAUAAUAAUAAAUACUUUUUUUUUU